GAACGCAUAAUGUGAACA
rnacentral:snRNA from 1 species